CAUCUACUCCCUCUGUUCUGAAUUAUUUGUCACAGGUAUAAAUGUAUCUAGAUGUAUUUUAGUUCUAGAUACAUCCAUUUCUGUAACGAGUAAUUUGAAACGGGGGGAGUAUGUG
rnacentral:pre_miRNA from 1 species